AAAUAUCAUCAGAGUCAUACAAUGUGAAAUUUAUGAGUUAUAUUUAAAUUGGUCCCUGUAAAGUUGUCUGCGAGCAUAUCCAUUAUAUAAAAUUAAUAAUAUUGAUAUAAUUAAAAGAGAGACCAAUAAUCUAGUUCAACGACAUCCAUACUUUUAUUAUUCUUCCCCCCUGAAAGAGGCUUAUAACAAGUAAAUAUCCCAUUAAAUAUUCUCAGAGAUAGAGAAGCAGGUCAAGAUUAAUAAACAACGCAUCUUGAGUGGAUGCUAUCCGUAAACAUUUUCAUUAAAAAUUAUUAUAUGGCUCCGGCUGAGAAGGAGUCCAUGAUUUUAAUCAAGGUGGACGUGCAGCUUUGGAUUCCGGGUGGAAUAAUUCCAUUCCUAUGCUUCGCCACGUAGAGUACUUCCUGGACCUUAGAAACAAUGUUUUCUAUUUUGAGACACUCUUCUUCAUAUGAAAGUGACGUACCGACAAGACAUUCCAUCUGAGUGAGUCUCACUCCCAAGUGGCCCCAUAUUAUGUCUUCCAUCACUCAACAUAGAUACAUCCAUUUGACAAAAGUAAAAGACAUGAAAUGAUGUCUCCUUAGAGAAUGAACACUUCCUAUCCUCCGGACUCGCUCUGGAUUUAUUGGUAAAAAAGUGAGGACGUUACUAACUAUACCCAAUCCACUUUUGUCCAGUCUAUUCAUUCUUCUCUGAACUAAAGUAGAGAGGUGUUCCACUCUAUGGCUGUUGGAGAAGGCUUCUCUUAUAAAAAUUGUAAUUUGUCGUAAGGUGAAAUACAUUCAGCCUCUUCCAUAUGGCUUCUACGUUUGUGGAGCAGAGUCCCCAACUUUUGGUAGGGGUGUUGAUCCGGUUUCUUGAAACAUAUGCACGAGACUGUCCCCCAUACAAUGUCUUCCCUUAUUUUAUACACUUUUUUACACAACUCCUGAGAAUAUGCGAUCCUCACGUUAGUAGAUACUAUAGUUCCAAGAAGUGAUGUUGACUGGGCGAAUUCAAUAUUUAGCAAGUGUAACUUCAGGUGGUCCUCACAGUUGAAAAGCGACAGAUCAUCUACGUAUAAAAGACAUUUCACCAUCUAUUUUAAUUCCCUUAAUGGUCACUAUGGAUUUUCUCAUAAUUGUCGUUUAUGGCAAUUAUAAAUAGAGUUGGAGAAAGAGGAGCUCCUUGUCGCACUGCUGGAUGGGUAUAAAACGUUUUUCUGGUACCUGAUAUGUCGAUUCUUGAAGGAAAGUUCCUCAUUAUGGGCGAUAUUUUUUUUAAUAAAUCCAUUCCGGAAUCAAUAUUUAUAUAGUUGCCCAAUUAUGUUUUUAUGGGAAAUAGUAUCAAAUGCUUUCUCAAACUAAAACAUAAGUGCUGCAAAAUCUUCAUUUUCCGAGCAGUCAAUGGCAUCUUGGAUUGAGCGAGGAAUGUCUUCUAGGAGCCGUGAUUUAAUUAAACCUUUUUGGGCUGGAGAGAUGAAUUGCGGGAGGAAUUUUACUAAUCUAUUAUUUAAAACACCCUAUCAAUGUCAGAGAUCCGGUGCUAAUGAAAUCUGGAAUGAAUCCCUUUUUAAAUAUAUCUUCAUUUUUAUAUGGGUAUUAAAAGAUUUAUAAAACUCAAAGGGUAGACUUGAGGCCCCUGGAUAUUUGUAUUUUCUAUUGUAGUUCCUGAUUAAGUUACCAAUCUCAAUUUGUGUAAUUAGGUCGUCUUUACCCUUAAAUUUAUAAUUAAUCUGAUUAUUUGAUCAAUUUUUGUUCAAAUUUAAAUGUCAACAAAAAAAAAGAAUUCCUCUCGCCGGAAGUCCAUUUUGAGAGGACGUCACAUUUGACAUUUACAAUUUUUUCUUUCCUUUUGCAGAAUUUACCUAGAAAAUUCAAUUUAAAGUGUGGAUUCAUUAAAGUUGCGUAUUUAGUUAUAGAGUAAUUAAUGUGCCCCUAGUGGAAAAAGAAACUUUCUAACAACCAAUUAUCGGAGCGUCCACAGGGGGUUAGCCGGACUUUAUGGAGACAACAGACUAUAUUGAGACUGGCAAUUAAAUUAAUUUUGAUAAAAUUAGAAGUUCCAACUUUUUUUCCUAAUAAUGAAAAAAAAAAAAAAAAAAAGGAUGAGAAAAGAAAAAUAAUACAAAUAUGAAAUAUUAAUUAUCAUACAAUUCGAAUCAAAGAUUGAAGUUUUGACGGAUUUCUUCUUUGAAUCGGAACAGACUUCGUGUGGUAGGUGGACUACGGAUAGAAAAGAGACUCAAAAUUAAUUUCUCAUGACUUGAUUUGCACAGUCGUCGCAUUCCUAGAUCUCUUCAAGAGUUCUUUGCUCCUGGUUGGAUGAAUAAGCAAGUCUACUUCCUACCUAUAUAAACAGCAUGCUAUGCCAACAUAUGAGAUGCCCAACGCGUCUCAGUGCCCACGUGUAGGAGAGUCUGGACGCUAAAACAGGUGACUAUAAUAACUGAAGCUUAUAGAAGAAUCAAUAGUGAAAAAUAAUUAUUGUGCUGAGUUGGUCAUUAUUUUGUAAGAAAUUUUGUUGCUCUUCGUUCAGUUGUAAAAUCACUUGAAGCACUGGGCAGUUUCCAGACCUCGACAUAUCGUUUUCCAAUGGAGUCUAAAGAAAGGAAGACUUAAAUACGUAUCUUGAGAAGAAAGAAAAUACUCGUGUGCUAUGUUUUGAGCACUUCCGUGAAAAUAACAUCGACUUUGAGAAUAAUUGAAGAAGAAAGCGUCUUUUAACUGGAGUCAUACCAUGGUAUUUAUAUUUUCGAAGGUGUCAAGACCAAGGAGUACAACCAAUUCCAUGAAGUCGAGAGGGUAGUUAGCAAAGGAGUCCUACCUAAUGUACGAGGUUCGACAGGCCAAAAUUCCCCAUGCAGUGAAGCAGAACCCUUUAUGCCUCUAGUAAGCGUAAUGACCUUGAUGAAGGUGAAAGUUGAAGGAUCCAAUCUGUUGUUGGGCAGACUACUGACGAAAAUAUUAUCUUAGUUACGAAUGUUUUAUGCCUACAGGAAUUAAGACAAGGUGGAAACAAGUAUUGGCAUUUCACCUGUAAAUUCGUUUGACCCUAAGAAAAUUUUUUUCUAUAUAUAAUUAAAAGCAUAUCUUGUUCAGUAUUCGACAUCGGCUACAGUGUGGUUUUUUUAUUACAACCCUCAACCGCGAUGAAGAUUUCCUGUCUUGUAGGUUUUGUUUAAUUAAAUAUAUUUCUCUAUGCUUCAAGUGUCUAAUCAGUGUGGUGGAAGACCAUAUUCAAAGACACAUUUCCGUCUGUAAUAUUUUCUUGAAAAGUAAAGAUGAAAAGAAUAUAUAAAUUUGAAAAUAUAUUAACAAA
rnacentral:lncRNA from 1 species